UAGAGUUUCACCAUGAUCGGACGAGGAAUCCUUAUACCUAGACAUUUCAUUGCAUCUGCAUCCUCUACGCAAUGGACAACAAGAACCACUUCGAUCUCUCCGUUACGUUUAUAUUCUUUUUUCUAGCCGGUCGCCCGUACUCUGCUAACGCCGGCUGCCCGAAGACGCCCCCAGACUGCCCAGGUGAACUGAACGGAGCUGGAGAUAUUGCCGGAUCUUCUAGUGUGAUCGGUGGUGUUUUCUCCAUCUCAUCAUGGCGUAGCAAGAGUUGCUCUCUGUGUUCUGACGACCCAACCGUGCAGCGUGCCAGCGUCGAGCUAGCCGAAGCUCUAUUACUCGCCACAGAGAUUCUAAACAAUGCGACAGGAGAGGAAGACGUGGCUUCCAGAAGAGGAAGAAGUGGAAGACGACUCUUGCGGGAAUCAUCGAACUGCCGAGUGCAUACAGAGUCUGACUCCGACUAGAUCUACUCUGGCGACUUUUGUCGGUCCCUACUACGCCGAGCGGAGCAUCCCUUUGAACGAGACGGAGCAGGGCAUUCUCUACAAGUAUCUCAACGGAUUUCCUUCUCAUGAUGACAAGGGAAUUUUUCUCUUCUUGAUGUGCCUUUCUCGUACCUAACAGGCGUACAGCAAUUUGUACUGUUGACUUCCUUCUACAGGAACGCUGGUGGAAUGUUACCGUUUUGGGAGCGGUGACGCAUGCGGUACGGCUUCUUUACGUCUAUUCAAGCAAGAACUGUUGCGCAGAAAUAUCUUUUGCCAUUUUGAAUGAACAUGCGUAGGACAGUUCGACGAGCCGACACUCACAUCAACAUAUUUGAGGAACGAGAUUACAUGUUUUUAUUAGAAGCGGAUGUGGCCAAAGCGAUCGAAGGCGUCAUCGUCGAGCCGCAGAGGAUCGAACUCAUAGAAACGUCGGAUGCGGUAACUUUGGCGAGGUUUACAAGGGCAUUCUAGACGGUAACCACACUGGCCGUCAAGUCGUUUCUAGGUGAGAGCAGCUUGAUGUUGCAUGAAGUCUGAAUUGUCAUACUGCGUUUCUGCGAGUACGUGUACCCCAUACUCAAAUAGUAGCCCAUGUUCUGAGGUGAUUGAAAAAUAGUAGCCCGUGCUCGAACAGUAACCCUUGCGUCACUAAAAGCAGCAACGUGCUGAACGAAUGUCAACACACUGCCAUAUGCGCAACGCAGUGUUGGAGCUCCAAGGCAAGGCACUUGGUCACCGAAGUC